CGGAGGAUGCGCCCGAGCCCAGCCCGGCGGCAGCAGCAGCAGCAACGCGGCGCUCCCAGCCCACCGCGAGCCAUGAGCCGUACUCCGUGCCCGGAGAGCCACCGGAGCAACCUGGCAUCCGCGCAGCUCUGCUAGGCGCUGCCGCGGGAGGAGAGCGCCGCCUCCC